rnacentral:rRNA from 1 species
UACGUAGGGACCAAGCGUUGUUCGGAUUUACUGGGCGUAAAGGGCGCGUAGGCGGCGUGGUAAGUCAGCUGUGAAAUCUCCGAGCUUAACUCGGAACGGUCAGCUGAUACUGCUGUGCUAGAGUACAGAAAGGGCAAUCGGAAUUCUUGGUGUAGCGGUGAAAUGCGUAGAUAUCUGGAGGAACACCCAUGGCGAAGGCAGGUUACUGGGCAUUAUCUGACGCUGAGGCGCGAAAGCGUGGGUAGCAAACAGG